GAUGAACGCUGGCGGCGUGCCUAAUACAUGCAAGUCGAGCGAACAGACGAGGAGCUUGCUCCUCUGACGUUAGCGGCGGACGGGUGAGUAACACGUGGAUAACCUACCUAUAAGACUGGGAUAACUUCGGGAAACCGGAGCUAAUACCGGAUAAUAUAUUGAACCGCAUGGUUCAAUAGUGAAAGACGGUUUUGCUGUCACUUAUAGAUGGAUCCGCGCCGCAUUAGCUAGUUGGUAAGGUAACGGCUUACCAAGGCAACGAUGCGUAGCCGACCUGAGAGGGUGAUCGGCCACACUGGAACUGAGACACGGUCCAGACUCCUACGGGAGGCAGCAGUAGGGAAUCUUCCGCAAUGGGCGAAAGCCUGACGGAGCAACGCCGCGUGAGUGAUGAAGGUCUUCGGAUCGUAAAACUCUGUUAUUAGGGAAGAACAAAUGUGUAAGUAACUAUGCAUGUCUUGACGGUACCUAAUCAGAAAGCCACGGCCAACUACGUG
rnacentral:rRNA from 1 species